GUGACCGCGAGCCCCGCUACCGCUUUAAAGAGGCGCGGGCGCAAUACAGAGGCUUCAGGAAAGACCUGCUGAGAGCGCUCCGGUGCAGGGUGGGCGGUGUGCACGCCGGGGUGUGCCGGCCUCUGGCCUCACACCCCGGGGUGCUCCGGGGCGAGCUGGAAAAGUCCCCGGCCACAGUCAACCCCGUUUCGGCGGCCGGAGCCUGCCCCCUUCCCGGGCCAGCUGAGCGCCGGGGUUCAGGGAAGUAUAGCUGUCCGGCCUGCCACGGGGGAUGGGUUCCUCUAAACAGUCCGGCGGCGCCCCCUUGACGCGACUCUCCUGGCCGCUCAUUUGGGGGGUGAGUGCAGGAGAGACUGUGGGUCCCCGGAAACCGACCUCUCUGUCUCUAAGACACAUUGAUGGCACCGGGACCCCCCGCUCGGCUCGGUGCUCACGGCCGGGGACCGGCGGCGGUCCCCUUGAUGCGGUCCUGGAAGGCAGCGAGCAGGAGAGCAGCGCCUCCUUAAGUGGCGCCGGCCGUCCUUAGUCCCCUCCCCCUGGCGCUCCGGCUGGUUGUCACCCGCAUCCACCCAGCGCCUCCCUUCCUCCUUUCCUCCGCUCCAACGUCUCCGGUAUGCCCGGCGGCCCGCCCCGCUCACCUGCGCCGACCGCUAAGGGGGCGCCCUUACCUGCGCCUCGAAAGCUCCAACCCUGAUGGCUGCAUCACACUUGAUUAAAAGAAUCCUGGCUGGAGGCUGGGCAUGGUGGCUUAUGCCUGUAAUCCCAGCUCUUUGGGAGGUCAAGGAUUUGAUAGAAAUGCUCCAAGAAAAGCAGGCUGUCCCUUCUGAAAUGAUGAGUGGUAAUGACCAUGCAGGUCAACUUUUCCACCACUUAGAGGGAGCCUGGCAAAGAACAAAGACAAUAGAGAAGAAAGCAGAGCUGAGGCUGAGUGAGAGGGAGAAAUUCCUGUGUGCUUGAAUCCCACAUGCCUGAAGGUGCACCACACUUGGUCUUCUCAA